GAUCCUGGCUCAGGACGAACGCUGGCGGCGUGCCUAACACAUGCAAGUCGAACGGAAGUUAGAGCUUCGGUUUUAACUUUAGUGGCGAACGGGUGAGUAACGCGUGAGGAACCUGCCUUUCAGUGGGGGACGAACAGUUGGAAACGACUGCUAAUACCGCAUGACACUUUUGUAGGGACGAUCCCUUAAAACGUACAAAGACUUUAUUGUGCUGAAAGAAUGGCCGUCCGCGUCUGAUUAGUCUAGUUGGUUGGAGGUAAACGGG
rnacentral:rRNA from 1 species